ensembl:lncRNA SNHG11 small nucleolar RNA host gene 11
GGGCAGGGGCCCGGCGGAAGCGCCGCUCUAGGCUGCAGCCGCGCCCCCAGCCGUAUUUCCGCGGGCGCUGAGCACUAGAGAGAGCGUCUUGUGGCUGCGGCCUGCCCCUCAGCCUCCUCCGCGCGGUUACCCCUGUACCCGCCGCCAUCCGUCCUGGCGCUCCGGAUGAGUCAAUGAGGGGCAGGGCCCGAGGAGUGGUCUUCCCAAGAACCCCUGGUGGCCUCCCAAGGCCGGUGCUGUGUACCUCCUCCCCGACAAAAGGGGAAACUGAGGCCCCGAGGGGAGUGGGAAGAGCCGGCUGGACGUCAGGCCCAGCCGCUGGUGCAGUGGUCCGUCCCCUCUGCCGGGGUGGGCCCCUCGGGUUUCGCGUGUCCUCGGGAAAGAGACUGGCGGGUGAGCCGCGCCCUCGGCCUUCGCUGGGCUAAGCCGACCCCAUGCAGACGUCAAACCCCCCUAGGUCGGCACAGCCUCUCUGCGGGGAGGCUUAGUGCCCCCUUGAGAAACGGCUUGGCAACGCUGUGCCCGGGGCCUUGCACGCGGGCUGAGGGGGCUAGAGACCUCGCGACUUUUACUCCCCCGACCCCGAUCUCCGACUCCUGACUUUGGAAGCCCCCAAAGCUGCUUUUCGGUUGCCUACAAAGUGUCGGUCAUUGUGCCACGUCCUUGGAACCGUGAACUCAUUUUCUCCUCAAUAACCUUUAAAAAGUAGCUGUAAAACCUCCAUUUUACAGACCAGUUGGCUGAGGUUUAAAUGGAGGACGCUCCCAGGGCCCCAGAGGGGCGAAUUCCAGACUCCUUUGCCAGGACCUUGUACUAAGCCCCUUCCCUACGCUUUUCCCUGCCUAGGCCUCGUGGGCUGUGCGGCUAUCCUGGAGACAGAUGACAGCUCUCCCUUGGAUGGCUUUGCUGGUUCCGCACCAGCCAGCGCCCCCAUUUUUCCUGCAGCACCCUGAUCUGCACUCCCUGAGGGGCUCCCACUGUCCGCGGUGUGAGGAUGUCCCUGGAUAGUCCACUGUGUGCAGAGGCAUGGGAGUUGUCAUGUUGGGAACAUGCUAGACCUCAGUAUCCUUGAGGGAUGCUGCCUUGGGUCUGGAAACUGUUAGAGGAAACCCCAAGAGGUGCAGGCACUGAGCCUCUCAGGACAAUGACCUGGGGUCCCAGCUCCCCUGGAGGGGCCUCCUCAUGAUUGUUUGGGGGUUGAUCACAGACCAAGAGUGACGAGUGAUGUCACCCUGUGACUCAUGGCUGGACCUUCUUGCCCCUAUUGUCUCAGCACAACAUUAUUCGACUUUUCCCUCAGCGUGGGUGGGCAGAGGAAAAGCCCUGUGGCUCUGGGGACUUGGGAUCCAGAGUUGAAGACCCUUCAGCUGGCUCUGCCCUGCCAGUGCCACAGAGUGCCAUGGCCCAGGAAGACAGGUUUUCUUCCAUCUAGGCCAGGCCAUCCAGUGGCCAUCCUCCGUGUCCUCCCGCCUCCUCCUGGUGUGACUUCUGAAAACCAAGAAUUUGUUCCUGUUGACUUUUUCUGUGCUAUGGACCAUUGUCCUCUCACCCACUCAAUAAAUCUUGAAACAUGCCCUGCUGCUUGUUCUUUCA